UUGAUAGAAGCCAAAUUAGAGGCAUGUCAUUGUUAAUGAUAUAAUUGAAAUUAUUUCCUAUCAAU
rnacentral:tRNA from 1 species